rnacentral:lncRNA from 1 species
CUUAGUAGAGAUGAGAGAUGAAAUAGCUUCUGUUUUUGUCUCUGGGUGCAUCUUGGGAGGUACCCUUAACUAAGUUGUUUUAUGUUCUUUUACUACAGAGUGAGGAAUCCCAAAUCUUUCAUUAAGGAAAACAGGUGACAGAGAGGAGUGGUGAGGAAAGAUAUAGUCUGAAACAGUCAGAAAGAAAUGAGAGAUGAUCUGAUGGUCAUAUGAUUUCACAGGCAGCUAGAAAAUGUCUGUGGUGACAGAGUAGAAGAAAGGACCUCUGAAGCUGACAUGCAGCAAGAAAGAAGUAUCAAGUGGAACAGAAAC